rnacentral:rRNA from 1 species
GAUGAACGCUGGCGGCGUGCUUAACACAUGCAAGUCGAACGAAGCACCUUGAUUUGAUUCUUCGGAUGAAGAUCUUGGUGACUGAGUGGCGGACGGGUGAGUAACGCGUGGGUAACCUGCCUCAUACAGGGGGAUAACAGUUAGAAAUGACUGCUAAUACCGCAUAAGACCACAGCACCGCAUGGUGCAGGGGCAAAAACUCCGGUGGUAUGAGAUGGACCCGCGUCUGAUUAGGUAGUUGGUGGGGUAACGGCUUACCAAGGCGACGAUGCAUAGCCGAGUUGAGAGACUGAUCGGCCACAUUGGGACUGAGACACGGCCCAG